rnacentral:rRNA from 1 species
UCUCCUACGGGAGGCAGCAGUGAGGAAUAUUGGUCAAUGGGCGAGAGCCUGAACCAGCCAAGUCGCGUGAAGGAUGACGGCCCUACGGGUUGUAAACUUCUUUUGUCAGGGAGCAAUUGAGUCCACGUGUGGGCUUAGCGAGAGUACCUGAAGAAAAAGCAUCGGCUAACUCCGUGCCAGCAGCCGAGGUAAUACGGAGGAUGCGAGCGUUAUCCGGAUUUAUUGGGUUUAAAGGGUGCGUAGGCGGAAUAUCAAGUCAGUGGUAAAACUGCGGGGCUCAACCCCGUCGUG